rnacentral:lncRNA from 1 species
AUUCAUCACCUUGAUUUUCUACGAAAGGCCCAGACAAAAUUAUUAUUAUUAUUAUUAUUAUUAUUAUUAUUAUUAUUAUUAUUAUUAUUAUUAUUAUUAUUAUUAUUAUUAUUAUUAUUAUUAUUAUUAUUAUUAUUAUUAUUAUUAUUAUUAUUAUUAUUAUUAUUAUUAUUAUUAUUAUUAUUAUUAUUAUUAUUAUUAUUAUUAUUAUUAUUAUUAUUAUUAUUAUUAUUAUUAUUAUUAUUAUUAUUAUUAUUAUUAUUAUUAUUAUUAUUAUUAUUAUUAUUAUUAUUAUUAUUAUUAUUAUUAUUAUUAUUAUUAUUAUUGAUGACGAUGAUGUGCUGUUGAUGUUUUUAUUAUUUGAGAGAUGGUAGAAUAAAGUUAUUCAUUUUGGAGCUUAACAGUGGAAAAUAAGGAAAACAAGAAAAAAGUUGCUGCUGUACCGUACAUCCGCCUUGGCCGUACAGCAGGAUUUCCGAAUAGAAGGCAUUCUCAUCAUUCUCAUCUCAAGCAGCAACCUCACCAGUAACACAUUUUCAUAUCAUGUUUCCACCACAGGUCGCACGUAUAGAAAGAAUGAAGUAUUAAUUAGCUUCAACAGAGCCUAUUUCUUUAUUUCUUUUUUUCCCAAAUAAAGCUUCAUUCUUAUACAUAUAAUUAAAAUAUCAACUGAAUAAACAAAGUCUAUGAUUACUAGUACAACAUUUUCAUUUUCAAGCAGAGCUAGGUAAGAUAUCGAUGUCGUCAAAUAAACCUAAUUUAGUCUUGAAACCAUAUACUGCACUAAGCAUAGCAGCAAAGCCAGAGCCUGACUAUAAAGAAGAUAAUAUAUAUAUAUAUAUAGAGAGAGAGCAAGAAAUUCGACUGGAACAUGAAAUUUUUAACAAUCUUACAAACAUUAUACACAAAUCUCAAUUCACGGCAAAUAGGAGGAUGAAUCACUGACAUCACCCAAUUCAUAUAUUUAAUUCAUGUAUCCUCAGCCCGAGUCAGCAACGUGCUACCACAGUCGAUUAGUUAUUAGGGUUAAGGCUGACAGCAAAGAACUGAAUGGCGUUAACUAAAUAAUGAGUUGAAACGGCAUCUGCAAUCGCAUUAAAUGGCAUUGAACCGAAAGGUGGGGUUUAAAUGAAUGUUGGCCUGAGACAAAAGGGUGUGGCGUAUUGGGGUUUUAUGGCUGCAUUUUGUUUCAAUUGAAGGAGGGAAGUUGAGCGAGAGCUUUGAUAUGUAAAUUUCAGCUUAAUUUAAGCUAGGGUUUUCUUUCGAUUGAAACAGAGGAGAGAUUUUGGGUUAUUAAAGUGAAAGAGAUGGAAUAAUACAAAAAAUUAGCGAAGUAAAAGCGAGGGAAUACAAGAUUUUUUAUGGGUCCUAAGGACUGAAGGCAAUUCGCCAUAGUUCUGAUAUACGGGAAACUUUCUUAGCUUUAUCGGUGGUGGAAAUGAGGCUUAGGGUUAGGGUUCCACACAAUGUUGUUAAGAGUGGCUCAAAGUUCAAUGAUUUUAGGUUGCAGCGAGAGGGGUUUAUUCAACACUUGGUCGAUAAUUGGCUGAAGUGUUGAUAUGUUUUAAGUUUCAUAAA